rnacentral:rRNA from 1 species
UACGUAGGGGGCUAGCGUUAUCCAGAAUUACUGGGCGUAAAGCGCGUGUAGGCGGUCUGUCGCGUCUGCUGUGAAAAUCCGGGGCUCAACCCCGGACUUGCAGUGGGUACGGGCAGACUAGAGUGUGGUAGGGGAGACUGGAAUUCCUGGUGUAGCGGUGAAAUGCGCAGAUAUCAGGAGGAACACCGAUGGCGAAGGCAGGUCUCUGGGCCACUACUGACGC